rnacentral:rRNA from 1 species
AUACGGAGGGUGCAAGCGUUAAUCGGAAUUACUGGGCGUAAAGCGUACGUAGGCGGUUCGUUAAGUUAGAUGUGAAAGCCCCGGGCUUAACCUGGGAACUGCAUUUAAAACUGGCGGACUAGAGUUGAGUAGAGGGGAGUGGAAUUUCAGGUGUAGCGGUGAAAUGCGUAGAGAUCUGAAGGAACAUCAGUGGCGAAGGCGACUCCCUGGACUCGAACUGACGCUGAGGUACGAAAGCGUGGGUAGCAAACGGGAUUAGAAACCCUAGUAGUCC